AGAUAUACCUAUAGAGGAGACACUGUGAUCACGAAGACUUUCCCAUGGCAAGGUUGAUCCUAAUACACUCAAUGCAGAGCCCUAUGAGAUUUCCCCAAAUGUGGGAAACUCAAUUGCAUAAUUUGAGGAAGUGAAGGAUUGUGUUUGUGCUUUCCCUUG
rnacentral:snRNA from 1 species